GGUAAUUAUACCAUUGGUAACUUGGUAGACAAAAAUGGACAUGAGAUAAGUGAAAUAGAAAAUUUUUAAGUUAGGGGCAAUUUGGUAAUCUAGUAAUUAAAAUGAAUUAAAAGGGAAAAAGAUGACAAAUUAUGCUCAUCUUCUUCAUAUGAACGAAAUCAGCAAGGGGGGAAGCCAUAGUUAGGGUUUUCAAGCUUCCAAGCUCCAUAAUCAAGAAGUACGAAACUCGAGGUUAGACAAAGGGAAGAAUAAAGUUGAAGGCUAAGUUGGUGAAUUUGGCUAUAAUUGGUACCGAGUAUUGCAAAGCUACUUCAAGGAUCCUAAAGAAGUCGGAGAUCGUCCACACUAUCAAC